AUGCCUAGCACCCGCCUGGUGCCGGCGGCGGGGGGAGAAAGGGGCGGUGGGGCUCUAGCACCCGCCUGGCGGCCGCCACCACAUCAAGGUCGCCGAGGCGGCUCCAGCUCCCUGGACAUGCCGCCGACCUGCCGCUCUUUCACUGAAGUAGUUGAUGAAGUAGUAUGCUGCGUGGAGUACCACUUUGAGACAGUUUCAGGCAGCAGAAAGAUCAGGAAAAGGAAGAAUCUUUCUAAACAUAAGGACUUAUUCGAGGUGAUAGUACUACACUUUUUUGUAAUGAAAUACUACAAAUCGAGCCACUUGUUACUAUCUAACUGA
rnacentral:rRNA from 1 species